CACAUCCAUACAUGACCACAGGAAAAACCAUAGCCUUGACUAGACGAACCUAAUCAGCUAUAUUCCAUUGCAAAAUAAAAAGUUAAAAAAAAUAAACUCUGUGCUCUUGUGUGACCAGAGCAUCUACUGUGAUCCCAUUGUGAUCAAACCUUCCUUACUGCAAGGAGGAAGGUGGGCCAAUCACAGUGAGGCUCUGGCCUGGAAAUGUGGGGUGGCGCCCACUAGGGCCAGACAAAAUGCAGGGUUUGGGGGAGGGAGGCACAAGGGAGGUGCAAGUGAUUCAGAUCUCUGUCCUCAGUGCCCUCAUCUGCCAGAUUAGGGAGCCCCUCUUGGAUAUCUACAGGAUCCUGUCCAACUCUCCUUUCUGGCCUUCUGAUAGAUUCCACACAUUCAACCAGGGGGAGCCCCAUAGCUAAGUUUCUUUCCUCAUCGGUCUGCGCUGGGGGCUACGAGGAGACCCCCUUCCCACUAUGGGCAACCAGGUGAUCUGCUACGUGGCCCUUUGUCUCUUUGGAGCAGGCACCGUGGCUGGUGGGAUCAGUCAGACCCCUAAAUACCUGCUCAAAAAGGAAGGUGGAGCUGUGACCCUGGAAUGUGAACAGGAUUUUGAUUAUGACUCAAUGUGCUGGUACCGACAGGACCCAGGUCUAGGACUGAGGCUGAUCUUCUUCUCGAAAUUUGUAAACAAUGUUCAGGAAGAAGACAUAGCUAAAGGCUACAGUGCCUCUCGUGAAAAGAAGCCUUUCUUUCCUCUUACCGUGACAUCAGCACAGAAGAACCAGACGGCUCUGUAUCUCUGUGCUGCUAGUAGAGACACAGUGACUCAAAGCCACCUCCUCUCUGCACACAAAUGAGUCCUGCUUCCCACCAGGUGGCAGGGCUUUUCUGUGUUCAGUACCCUUGGCCGUCGGCUUCUUCCUCCUGAACCAGGCACCCAAAGCAGCUGCUGCAGCAACACACGUCGUGGAAUGGCACAAUCCUGAUUCAGCAAUCCACUGGGUUGAUUCUUAAAAAUCACACCUAUCUACAUUAGGGGCUUCCCAGCUGGCACAGCAGUAAAGAAUGCCAAAGAUAUGGGUUCGAUCCCUC